rnacentral:lncRNA from 1 species
CUCCCUCCUGUGCACUGAGCUCUGUACUGCAGAAUAGACUUAAAAUACUCAUUUUACCAUUCCUAUAAACUUGUGAUUUAUUUCUUAGGUAGCAUGGACUCCAAAAGUCCUUUAAAUCUAUUUGGGUUUUUUUUAUCCUGAGUGGUAUAGACAGAGCAGUUGUUUUCAAAGAAAGAGCAAUAAACACUCAGAGCUGUUAACACUGAAGAGUUGCAGAGACCAGCAUUCAAGGAAGACCAGUGGUUGAGACCAGCACCUGGUAGCAUCGACCUCCAGCAUCGGAUGGUGACAGAUGGCAGCAGCAGUACCCACUAGGUGGUUGUCUCAACUGUUGGCACCCAACACCAUCUGGUGUCAUCUGGUGACAGGAGGACCAAUAGCAGAGCUGCACUUUUUUAAUUCACAAUUUCCUUCUGAAUCCAGCAAAAGAAUCCUAGGCUGACUGGCAAGAAAACAACUAGUAUCUUUCCAAAACUAUCUUAACCAUUGAAGAUUUUUAGAAACAGAAUUUUAGUGGGAGGCAUUAGGAUGUGGAAAGACAGAAGUUUACAAGAGUGAAACUUACAAAUCUCAGAGAAGCUCAUCUAGACACCAUCUUGAGGAGAAAAGUGAGAUACAGGAAGAGGUUGCACAACUAGAGAGUCA